CCAGACUGCAGACUGGACACUCUCAGGGUGGACCAUGGUGGACCACAGAGACUGAGACCUGGUCUGAGGAAGUAUGUCUGUGAACUGAACUGGACACAACACAGUACACAGAGAGCCAAAUUUGUUCCUGACAACAACAGGAAGUGACAGAUGUGGAGGGAGGAUCAGUCAUAUCCUGAUCAUCGAGACAGAUUUGACUACUGGCGUCAGCUGCUGUGUAGAGAUGGUCUGACUGGUCGCUGUUCUGGGGAGGUCGAGAGGAGAGGAAGGUU